rnacentral:misc_RNA from 1 species
UAUGCUCGAAUCUCUAAGGUUGCGUCGUGGUUCGAACAAAUCGUCAAUCUCCUUCUAAUUUUUCUUAAGAUCUGUGCAUAUCGGAUGGGAUUCCUCGAGAUCUGCAUAUCGGACGGGAUCCCUCGUGAUCUGUGCCGAUUUGACGAGAUCUGCUUCACUCUCUCGAGAUCUGUGCCGAUCAGACGAGAUCUGCUUCACUCUUCCUAGAUUUGAAGAUUUGUGUUCUCUCUCUAGUUCUAUGGCGGUCUGUAGGUAUGAACUAUCUUUUCUCGAAAUCUGAGGCAGGCUUGCUCACAGAUCAGUCGAUUAAUGUAAGAUGAGGCAGGGUUCUAUCAAGCACUGAGUGUUUGAUGUUUUAUAUGUUGUCGUGACUGGGCCUUUGCCAUGUCGGGUGAGCUCGCAUGGCAG